GGAGGAAGGCCCUCCGCAAUCGCCAUACAGGUGGAGAUUGCAAAACACUCAUAGAUGCUGCGAGGAAAAGUCGUGGUAUUGAGCGUAUGAGAAAAGGU
rnacentral:ncRNA from 1 species